rnacentral:tRNA from 1 species
GGGCGGGUAGCUCAGCCUGGGAGAGCAUCCGGCUGAAGACCGGAGGGUCGUGGGUUCAAGUCCCACCCCGCCCA